UCGCUACUGCUCAGAACUACCCUCUCCUUAGAGUGCCGAUUCCCCGGAAUUCUGCAGUUAACUUAUUUUUCUUCUUUAGAUCUCAUGCACCACAUAGUGACAUUUCAGUCAAUGAAGAGCCACUUAUAUCACCUAGUGUAAAUACCCUCUAUGAUAUUCACAUAAGGAUGAAAUUACCUAGCAUUUUCAGUGUUAAGCCACAUAUGGCUGUAUUGCCUUCUCAGACUAUUCUAAAUUGCUCACUUGUGUUAUAUGUUUUGCUGUAUGAUUCUUGUGAAUCUAAGUAAACUGGUGUUUAAUUAUGAUUCAUUUGAGUAUGCUUAGACAACAGUAACUCCAUUUUGAACUCUCACAUAAUAAAAGCUGUAAAUGAACUGAAUCGAUGGGUGAUAGCCACCUUGACAACUGUGCACCUAUAUACAAAUAAUAUGGUUGGUAUCUAGGACUUUUUCCCUCCAAUUUUGACAUCUGGAAGCUAACCCACACUUCUGGAUGUGAGACUGAACAACAGUUACUCCAUUUUGUAAUAGGGCCCCAACUUGUCUGCUUCUGUUAUGGAUCACCAGGUAGACAUCGAGUUCCAGGGAUGUGCUUGUUGUUGUGCCAGGAAGGUCUGUUGUGUGUGUAGUGUUCCGUCAUGCUUGCCCAACUCCAUAUCUGAAUAUGUUAUCUUAAGGACAAUCUGUAAAAGGUCUGUUUUAUCUCUCUCCUCUGCUUUUGUAUUUCUGCUUGCCAACUUCCCCUGAAACCCCCUAUAAAAACAGCCUCGGACUCUGAGCCAGUUGCCUCUCUAAGCUUGGAGCUUGGAGAGUCCCAUCUGGCCAGACUAAUAAAGGUCUGUUUUACUUCAACAACUUGUCCACUGUGUUCCCUCCCAGGUGAUCUUCGCUGUAGUCAGCUCCUCGGAGCGUUUGGUGAGACACAUGGUCUUACACUGGAGACACACCGGAGAUAAUAUGCCUUCUGGAACCACAACAUUCCGUACCUGUUUGUGUGUUCCCUUGGAGGGGCUGACCUCCCAGAUCACUUGGACAAAUUUUUCUGUGGAUGCAAUAUUUGGCUUAUUACUAAAAUUCUGUGCUUCACUGAUUGUUUUUUACUUAUCUUUACCUAUAUUGCUUAUUUUUGUUUGGUCUGCUUUUGUGUACAUUGCAAUAAACUGCUUAAUUUAGAAACUAUCUUUGUUUCACUUGACUUGUCAUUUGUUGAGAGAAUAAAGAGCCUGC
rnacentral:lncRNA from 1 species